rnacentral:lncRNA from 1 species
AAGCUUUCAUUAGUGAAUUGGAAAGACAGGCUUCAGAUACCAUUAAACAAUACUUUUUAUUGCAAAAGACAGAAACCCAACCUAAGGUUUAGGCAGAAAUGGGGAUUUGUUGCCUCUUGUAACUGGAAAGAACAGAGGUGGAUGUUGCUUCAGGCCCAGCCACACCAGGGGCUCAGAUGAUGUUGUCAGCAAUCUGUCUGCACCUUGCCUCGGUUUUCCUUUGUGUUGGCUUUGUUCUGAAGUCUUCUCUUCCCAAGUAAUAGCAGAGAUACACACCAACAGCUCCAGGACCACAGUCUCCCAGCCUAACAGCCCAAAUGGAAGAGAACACCUACUUACCCAAUGUUCCUGUUGGAGUCCCAGGAUUGAAUCCCAUUGGCCAGAUUGGGUCACAUGCACAUUCCAGAACCAAUCGCUGCGACCAGGAAAUUGAAUGAUCUAAUCCUAGGGGCCUGGGCCCUGUGCUGUACAAGGGUAGAAUCAACCUCCUACAGGACCACCUACAGGACCCGAGCUGGGGAGGGGCGGUGGCUUUAUGCUGACAAAACAACAGCUGCCCGUUAUCCCCUCCCCGGUUUAGCUCCAUCACAACCCCACCUCCGUGUGCUUACCGGAGUGGCCAUGGGCUGUCUUGGAAUGGGCAGGUGAAGGAUUGAAGGAAAUGGGUAGCGGUGGAAAUAGCUUACAAGCCCAGAGCCAGAAGCUGAAUGUCGUAAGAUGAGGAGAAGAAACAGAGGCUCAGCGAGUGAGGUCGCAUACCCGAGGUCACCCAGCAAGCAGUAUUCCAACCCAAUUCUCCAUCCGAAGCUCUCAGCAGCAUUCCGGAAACAGCGCCAGGCCCCCUGGAGGAGCCGGUCUGCUGCUGGCUGCGGGGCUGGAAGGGGCUUGCGGUUCCCUAGCCUCCCUCAGAGCUGCUGGGUUCCUGGAGGAGAGGCUUGUGCUGCCCCCAGGGGAGGGAGGGCAAAAUUGGCCUAAGACCAAGGCAGCCGCAGGAGGGGCCAGCCUCUUGCAAAUGAAAUAUUCAUGGGGGUUAUUGAAUCAAGUUUUAUUGGAAUAAAAAUACACUUGCUGAAUA